AUUCUAGAUAAUAAUAACUUACCCUUUCAACACACUUUUUGAUAGGAAUCACCCGAUGUUACUUUGUCCUUGAAGAUGAAUUAGCUUCUAUUGAUAUGGUCUUCACCUAUAGGAUCCAUCCAUUGCAUGGACUGGGCCCAAGGAAUUACCCGAUGUUACUUUGUCCUUGAAGAUGAAUUAGCUUCUAUUGAUAUGGUCUUCACCUAUAGGAUCCAUCUAUUGCAUGGACUGGGCCCAAGGAAUCACCCGAUGUUACUUUGUCCUUGAAGAUGAAUUAGCUUCUAUUGAUAUGGUCUUCACCUAUAGGAUCCAUCCAUUGCAUGGACUGGGCCCAAGGAAUCACCCGAUGUUACUUUGUCCUUGAAGAUGAAUUAGCUUCUAUUGAUAUGGUCUUCACCUAUAGGAUCCAUCCAUUGCAUGGACUGGGCCCAAGGAAUCACCCGAUGUUGCUUUGUCCUUGAAGAUGAAUUAGCUUCUAUUGAUAUGGUCUUCACCUAUAGGAUCCAUCCAUUGCAUGGACUGGGCCCAAGGAACUUAAACAUAGCAAUAAUAAGAUUUGCAUAUGCUCUUCACCUAUAGGACCCAUCCAUCUUAUGGACUCCCCCCUAGGUCUUAAACAUAUCGUUAACAAGAUAUGAUCUUCACCUAUAGGACCCAUCAUUUUUUAGAUUGGGCACUAGGAACUUAUACAUA